AGUUGAGUUAUAAUGGAAUUUGAUAUUUUGGGUCACACUUGUGUGAGACUAUCUCACGGAUCCUUAUUUGUGAGUCGGGUCGGGUCGGGUCAACAUGCAAAUGUCAUACUUAUAUGCUC